CAAAAGACAACCAUGAAGCUCCAUCCAAACCUGAAGCAGGCAGUUGGUGCAUGUGUACAGUAACCUGAGGGGAGUGAGGUGAGUGCUUCUGAGGAGAACAUGAGCAGUGAAGAUUCACCUUGGAGCUAGAACAGAGACAUGCACAUGAUUAUACAGGGGCAGGGGCUCAAGUUUUUUCCAGUCGUUUAUACAAUAUGGAAAUUAAUGUGAAAUUAAAACACAAAGUAUUAAUAGAAAGGUAAUGACUGUCCUGUGUAGGUGACAGUGAUAUCCAAUAGGCUAGGCACUCACGAGGCUGGCUGUGGCAAGUGUAAGUGAAAGCAACACGCACUGGCAGGAAGAACAGCAAACGCCGAUGAAGGAAAAGGGUCUUUGCAGUGAUGGGCGUUACCGGAGAGGGCGAUGGCCAGAGGACACAAAUGGGACGGGGAGGCAGCACGUUGGGGGGGGACGCGACACGGCUCGGGCCCGCAAGUGCCCCAACGGGGUCCUAGUUAUUUUUCCUCCGCUUUAAACUGGAAAAUGGCCCACUUCCCACUGGCGAAAACUCAGGAAAUUUGGCAGGACGACCGGGCCUGGUGAAAAAUUUGAUAUUCUGAAGUCGCCCAAACAAAAAAAUGAAAAAUGGCUCCAUAGCGCCCCCUAUGGUGAAAACUCACCUGACGCCUGUACGCUUUGUCAAAAUGACACAAAAAUUGACACACACAUGUAUCUCAAUACGAUCUACAAAAAAGUCAGUGUGGGCGUAUCUGUCAAAUGUACGGUUAAAGGGUUAUUUCGCAUUUUUUGCCGAUCCGCACACAUUGGAAUUUCGCUAACUCCUCCGAAGGCUUUCGUUCCACCGGCACCAAAUUUGCUCAGGCCAAUCUACACCCCAUGGCCAUUCAAAGUUGUACAAAUCAUGACGCUGCACCCCACGGUUUACGUUGUAGGGGGCGCCAAAGAUAACCCAAAAAUCCACAUUCUUAAAAGUCUUAUAACUUUUUAUUUUUGUCCUCACUGGCCUCCAAGUUCUCUAGGAUGAUGCAAUGUCCAGCCAUCAACACAUUUGUGAAGGAAUUUUUACUCCCCAAAAGAGCGCCCCCCCAUGGCAGGAGAAAAAAGUCCAUUUUUUCUUGUCCCCUAAGGUGAAAAUACACAUUGUUGAGUGUCACGCCUGUACGCUUUGUCAUAUUGAAACAAAAUUUGAUAAUCACGUGUAUCUCAAUAAGAUCUACGAAAAAGUCAAUGUGCACGUGUCUGCAAAAUGUACGGUUAAAGGGCUAUUUCGCAUUUUUGGUUGAUUCGCACACAUUGGAAUGUGGCUAACUCCUCCUAAAGCUUUCGUUCCACCGGCACCAAAUUUGCUCAGGCCAAUCUACACCCCAUGGCCAUUAAAAGUUGUACAAAUCAUGACGCUGCACCCCACGGUUUACGUUCUAGGGGUCGCCAAAGAUAACCCAAAAAUCCACAUUCUUAAAAGUCUUAUAACUUUUCAUUUUUGUCCUCACUGGCUUCAAAGUUUUCUAGGAUGAUGCAAUGUCUAGCCAUCAACACAUUUGUGAAGGAAUUUUUUCUCCCUAAAAGAGUGCCCCCCCAUGGCAGGAGAAAAAGUCAAGUUUUUCCUGCCCAUCGCUCAAUGGCUCAAACACAUCGCUCUCUCGGAAAAAAACGAAAGGAGGAGGAACUUGCCAUUUGGAUAUAUCCUAGCUGUGUUUGUGCCCUCACUCAUGGUCCAGACUUUUUUCAAAUAGGACAUGUAGUUUGUCUGCAGCAAGCGUUUUGGUAGAAACUGCGCCUCCCAUUCAUUAUAAUGGUAAAUGACCACAGACAAGUGCGCACACCAUCGUUGAACCUUGAGUGUGACGCGAUCGGGAGGGAGAGGCGGUCGUGUUGGGGGCGGCGUGACACAGCUCGGGCCCGCCAGUGCCCCAACGGGGCCCUAGUUAGGGCCCGAGCGUAGCUGCUAAGCAGCUGCGAGAGCCCUCUUGUUCCUGCAUGUUUCCUUCUUUUGUUAUUAGGGCCCGAGCGUAGCUGCUAAGCAGCUGCGAGAGCCCUCUUGUUCCUGUAGUUUCCUUCUUUUGUUAUUAUUAUUAUUAUUUUUCCUCCCCUUUGAACUGGAAAAUGGCCCACUUCCCACUGGCGAAAACUCAUGAAAUUUGGCAGGACGACCGGGCCUGGUGAAAAAUUUGAUAUUCCGAAGUCGCCCAAACAAGAAAAUGCAAAAUGGCUCCAUAGCGCCCCCUAAGGUGAAAAUUCACACUAUUCACUGUCACGCCGGUACGCUUUGUCAAAAUGACACAAAAAUUGACACACACAUGUAUCUCAAUAAGAUCUACAAAAAAGUCAGUGCGGGCGUAUCUGUCAAAUGUACGGUUAAAGGGUUAUUUCGCAUUUUUUGCCGAUCCGCACACAUUGGAAUUUCGCUAACUCCUCCGAAGGCUUUCGUUCCACCGGCACCACAUUUGCUCAGGCCAAUCUACACCCCAUGGCCAUUAAAAGUUAUUCAAAUCAUGACGCUGCACCCCACGGUUUAGGUUCUAGGGGGCGCCAAAGAUAACCCUAAGAUCCACAUAUUUAAAAGUCUUAUAACUUUUUAUUUUUGCCCUCACUGGCCUCCAAGUUUUCUAGGAUGAUGCAAUGUCCAGCCAUCAACACAUUUGUGAAGGAAUUUUUACUCCCCAAAAGAGCGCCCCCCCAUGGCAGGAGAAAAAAGUCCAUUUUUUCUUGUCCCCUAAGGUGAAAAUACACAUUGUUGAGUGUAACACCUGUACGCUUUGGCAAAAUGACACAAAAAUUGACAUACACAUGUAUCUCAAUAAGAUCUACGAAAAAGUCAAUGCGCGCGUAUCUGUCAAAUGUACAGUUAAAGGGUUAUUCCGCAUUUUUUGCCGAUCCGCACACAUUGGAAUUUCGCUAACUCCUCCGAAGGCUUUUGUUCCACCGGCACCACAUUUGCUCAGGCCAAUCUACACCCCAUGGCCAUUAAAAGUUAUUCAAAUCAUGACGCUGCACCCCACGGUUUAGGUUCUAGGGGGCGCCAAAGAUAACCGUAAAAUCCACAUAUUUAAAAGUCUUAUAACUUUUUAUUUUUGUCCCCACUGGCCUCCAAGUUUUCUAGGAUGAUGCAAUGUCCAGCCAUCAACACAUUUGUGAAGGAAUUUUUACUCGCCAAAAGAGCGCCCCCCCAUGGCAGGAGAAAAAAUUCCUUUUUUUCUUGUCCACUAAGGUGAAAAUACACAUUGUUGAGUGCUACGCCUGUAUGUUUUGUCGUAUUGACACAAAAUUUUACAUACACGUGUAUUUCAAUAAGAUCUUCGAAAAAGUCAAUGGCCACGUAUCUGUAAAAUGUACGGUUAAAGGGUUAUUUCGCAUUUUUUGCAGAUUCGCACACAUUGGAAUUUCGCUAACUCCUCCGAAGGCUUUCGUUCCACCGGCACCACAUUUGCUCAGGCCAAUCUACACCCCAUGGCCAUUAAAAGUUAUUCAAAUCAUGACGCUGCACCCCACGGUUUAGGUUCUAGGGGGCGCCAAAGAUAACCCUAAAAUCCACAUAUUUAAAAGUCUUAUAACUUUUUAUUUUUGUCCCCACUGGCCUCCAAGUUUUCUAGGAUGAUGCAAUGUCCAGCCAUCAACACAUUUGUGAAGGAAUUUUUACUCGCCAAAAGAGCGCCCCCCCAUGGCAGGAGAAUAAAGUCAAGUUUUUCCUGUUCAUCAUUCAAUGGCUCAAACGCACUGCUCUCGGCAAAAGCGAAAAGAGGAGCAACUUGCCAUUUGGAUAUAUCUUAGCUGUGUUUGUGCCUUCACUCAUGGUCCAGACUUUUUUCAAAUAGGACAUGGAGUUUUUCUGCAGCGAGCGUUUUGGUAGAAACUGCGCCUCCCGUUCAUUAUAAUGGUAAAUGACCACAAACAAGUGCGCACACCAUCUUUGGACCUUGAGUGUGACGCGAUCGGGUGGGGGAGGCGGUCCCGCUGGGGGCGGCGUGACACGGCUCGGGCCCGCCAGUGCCCCAACGGGGCCCUAGUUAGGGCCCGAGCGUAGCUGCUAAGCAGCUGCGAGAGCCCUCUUGUUCCUGAUGGAUUCUUCUUUCGUUAUUUUUCCUCCGCUUUAAACUGGAGAAUGGCCCACUUCCCACUGGCGAAAACUCAGGAAAUUUGGCAGGACGACCGGGCCUGGUGAAAAAUUUGAUAUUCUGAAGUCGUCCAAACAAAAAAAUGAAAAAUGGCUCCAUAGCGCCCCCUAUGGUGAAAACUCACCUGAUGCCUGUACGCUUUGUCAAAAUGACACAAAAUUUGACACACAUGUGUAUCUCAAUAAGAUCUACGAAAAAGUCAGUGCGGGCGUAUCUGUCAAAUGUACGGUUAAAGGGCUAUUUUGCAUUUUUUGCCGAUUCGCACACAUUGGAAUGUGGCUAUCUCCUCCUAAGGCUUUCGUCCCACCGAUACCAAAUUUGCUCAGGGCAAUCUACACCCCAUGCCCAUUCAAAGUUGUAAAAAUCAUGCCGCUGCACCCCACGGUUUACGUUCUAGGGGGCGCCAAAGAUGACCCAAAAAUCCACAUUCUUAAAAGUCUUUUUGGUCACUGCAGGAGUACAGAGUACUGCAGGAUACACACACAUAUAUACACACACACACACACACACACACACACACACACACACACACUCAGAGUCUGUUUUUUAGCACCUGCAAAAACAUGCUGUUUACAUAUUUGACAACAAUGCAGAGGCUUCCUUUUGCCCCUGAAAAAAAUCAAAUUUCAAACACAACUUGACUGUUCAUUUCUCCAAAUGACAACCAUGAAGCUCCAUCCAAACCUGAAGCAGGCAGUUGGUGCAUGUGUACAGUAACCUGAGGGGAGUGAGGUGACUGCUUCUGAGGAGAACAUGAGCAGUGAAGAUUCACCUUGGAGCGAGAACAGGGACGUGCACAUGAUUAUACAGGGGCAGGGGCUCAAGUUUUUUCCAGUCGUUUAUACAAUAUGGAAAUUAAUGUGAAAUUAAAAAACAAAGUAUUAAUAGAAAGGUAAUGACUGUCCUGUGUAGGUGACAGUGAUAUCCAAUAGGCUAGGCACUCACGAGGCUGGCUGUGGCAAGUGUAAGUGAAAGUGAAAGCAACACGCACUGGCAGGAAGAACAGCAAACCCCGAUGAAGGAAAAGGGUCUUUGCAGUGAUGGGCGUUACCAGAGAGGACGAUGGCCAGAGGACGCGAAUGGGACGGGGAGGCAGCGCGUUGGGGGGGGGGGGCGCGACACAGCUCGGGCCCGCCAGUGCCCCAACGGGGCCCUAGUUAUUAUUUUUCCUCCCCUUUAAACUGGAAAAUGGCC
rnacentral:lncRNA from 1 species